UACAAAACCUCGGAGACGUUCCACUCAAAAGUCAUAAACAAUCUCUCUUGAGGUAAAACACGAAUAAACUUCCUAGAAUCAAAACGAGAGCUGUUUUAAGUUUGUCAGACGACGUUAUCAGACCCCAGGUAUAAAUUUAUGGUAACACCGGGUAGUACGUAAUAAUGGUCUUAAGUUGUACGUAAUGUCCCUGUUCGUACCGUUGUUCUACCUAAACUGUUUACCAUGUUUUGCUUAGGAGGCACCAGGAAUGGUCUAAGGUACUCCCCACGAGGUCUAGCGCAGCUCUGCCACCGUAAACGCUGCCGCCUCCACCGCUGGAGGGGACUGGGGCAGAAGGAGCCGCUGCAGAAGAAGAGUCCGGACUUCGUACUUUUCGUAAAGUGCCAGGCUUAAGGGGUUACGUACACGGAGAGUUGGUUUGGAGGAGGAACACGGGUGGUGCUCUAGAGGUUGGGGAGACGAGAAAUGUUAGGUCUUCUGAGAAACGUGUACGUUACCGUCGUACCUGCUCCUCAAGAGGAGGGAACGACGUUCUAGGACCAGUGUCUAACGGUAGCGUGAGUAGAACGUUCUUCUUACGCUAGGGACACCUACCCUACACUAGUCCAUCCUCCUCGUAACAGUGGCACGGAAAACACCUCCAGUUACACGAGUCGGUUCUUAUCCUAGAGAGAGCCAAAAUCCGGUGUCAACUCGAGAUUUUAAUCUUGCGGACGGGGAGACUUCUAGUCGUAGGAGACCUUACGUGACCUACAUUUGCGGAAGGUAGUAAGGGACUUAAAAGAGUAAACAACCGGGGUACCAACCAUAAGGUGUUCCCCUUUACCGGACGAGUGACAAACACAGGGACAACAACCUUAUCACCUUUCUUUUUCCCGUGGGAUACAGUAUACGGUGAAGUUAAUACAGCGAAGAUCGUCUACGAAGUAACUCAGACAACACUGCACAACUUUAUAUAACAGG
rnacentral:rRNA from 1 species